GCCGCUGCUGGGGAGGGCUGGGCAGGAGCUCCCCGGGCCAGGGAACUGACUAGGUCUCAAACUGGGGGAGAGCCCAGGAAGGAACAGACCAGAAAGGGAAACCAUCAGCCUCCAGCCUGGGGAAGCGGGUUUGAGCCCAGAGAGCUUUCUGGCCCUGUACUUCCUCACUGGGAUCCGAUGGAGGCCAGACCACCUGCUCCUCUCUGCGGAGGAACCACAGCACCUGCUUGGCUGGUGAGCAGAGGGAAGGACCAGGGCUCCCUUCUGGGGCAGGGAUCAGGCUUUCUGGGCUAGCGGAGAGCAGCCCGGGGCUGCUGUCUCCUUCCAGCAGAAGUUAAAGGAAAAGUGGUCUCUUUAUCAAAAUAUUAAAAAUAGAGUUACUGUAUGAUCCAGCAACCCCACUUCUGGUGUGUAUACGCCCAAAAGAAUUGAAAGCAGGGACUCAAAUAGCUAUUCGCACAACGAUGCUCAUGGUGGCGUUAUUCAUAAUAACCAGGAAGUGGAAGAGAUCCAAGUGUCCAUCCGCAGAUGAAUGACACACCUACAGUGGAAUAUUCUUCAGCCAUAAAAAAGGAUGAAAUCCUGACGCGUGCUUCAACAAGCAUGAACCUUGAGGAUAUUAUGCUCGGUGAAAUAAGUCAGUCUAGGAGAUACCUAGAGCAGCCAACUUCAUAAAGAAGAUGGGAAAACUGCCACCUAGAAAGGUAAAGCGGUAUGUGCCAAGUCCUGCAGUCAGGAAAGGACUGAGCCAGGAUCCUGGGUUCGAACCACCCCUCUGUGCGGCUCGGAGAAGGGAAAGGUCCCUUCCUCAUCCUCUCUUGUGCAUCUCCACAGGAGCCUGUGCCCUGCCUCCUCAUUCCCUUACUUCCUCAAGGAUUUGGGAGUCUUGCGGAAA